rnacentral:rRNA from 1 species
AUUGAACGCUGGCGGCAUGCCUUACACAUGCAAGUCGAACGGCAGCACGGGAGCAAUCCUGGUGGCGAGUGGCGAACGGGUGAGUAAUGUAUCGGAACGUGCCCAGUCGUGGGGGAUAACGCAGCGAAAGCUGUGCUAAUACCGCAUACGAUCUAUGGAUGAAAGCGGGGGAUCGCAAGACCUCGCGCGAUUGGAGCGGCCGAUAUCAGAUUAGCUAGUUGGUGGGGUAAAGGCUCACCAAGGCGACGAUCUGUAGCUGGUCUGAGAGGACGACCAGCCACACUGGAACUGAGACACGGUCCAGACUCCUACGGGAGGCAGCAGUGGGGAAUUUUGGACAAUGGGCGCAAGCCUGAUCCAGCAAUGCCGCGUGCAGGAUGAAGGCCUUCGGUUGUAAACUAGCUUUUGUUACGGUAGCGAAAAGGUUACGUACUCUAAUUAACAGGGGCGUCGAUGACGGUACCCGGUAAAGAAGUAAAGACACCCGGACUAACCUUAACG